GGCCACAUAGCUCAGCGAAUCAGAGCGCUGCUCUCCGAAGGCAGAGAUCCCAGGUUUGAAUCCUGGUGUGGUCG
rnacentral:tRNA from 1 species